rnacentral:rRNA from 1 species
AACGAACGCUGGCGGCGUGCUUAACACAUGCAAGUCGAGCGGUAACAGGCGUAGCAAUACGUGCUGACGAGCGGCGAACGGGUGAGUAAUGCUUCGGAAUCUUCCUCGUAGUGGGGAAUAACCUGGGGAAACUCAGGCUAAUACCGCAUACGAACUAUGGUUGAAAGCGGGGGAUCGCACGACCUCGCGCUAUGAGAUGAGCCGAAGUCGGAUUAGCUAGUUGGUGAGGUAAAGGCUCACCAAGGCGACGAUCCGUAGCUGGUCUGAGAGGACGACCAGCCACACUGGGACUGAGACACGGCCCAGACUCCUACGGGAGGCAGCAGUGGGGAAUAUUGGACAAUGGGGGCAACCCUGAUCCAGCGACGCCGCGUGUGUGAAGAAGGCCUGCGGGUUGUAAAGCACUUUUAGUGGGGAUGAAAAGCACAGGGCUAAUACUCUUGUGUCUUGACCUAACCCAAAGAAAAAGCACCGGCUAACUCUGUGCCAGCAGCCGCAGUAAUAC